rnacentral:rRNA from 1 species
CCUACGGGAGGCAGCAGGGAGGAAUAUUGGUCAAUGGGCGCGAGCCUGAACCAGCCAAGUAGCGUGAAGGAUGACUGCCCUACGGGUUGUAAACUUCUUUUAUAAAGGAAUAAAGUGAGGCACGUGUGCCUUUUUGUAUGUACUUUAUGAAUAAGGAUCGGCUAACUCCGUGCCAGCAGCCGCGGUAAUACGGAGGAUCCGAGCGUUAUCCGGAUUUAUUGGGUUUAAAGGGAGCGUAGAGGGGUUGUUAAGUCCGUGGUGAAAGUUUGCGGCUCAACCGUAAAAUUGCAAUUGAUACUGGCAGUCUUGAGUCCAGUUGCGUUCGGCGGCAUUCGUUGUGUAGCGG